rnacentral:rRNA from 1 species
GACAGAGGUGCCAAGCGUUAGGCGGAAUACUGGGCGUAAAGCGUGCGCAGGCGGUUAUGCAAGACAGAUGUGAAAUCCCCGGGCUCAACCCUGGGAACUGCAUUUGUGACUGCAUGGCUAGAGUACGGUAGAGGGGGGGAUGGAAUUCCGCGUGUAGCAGUGAAAUGCGUAGAUAUGCGAAGGAACACCGAUGGCGAAGGCAAUCCCCUGGACCUGUACUGACGCUCAUGCACGAAAGCGUGGG